rnacentral:rRNA from 1 species
UAGGGAAUCUUCCGCAAUGGACGCAAGUCUGACGGAGCAACGCCGCGUGAGUGAAGAAGGAUUUCGGUUCGUAAAACUCUGUUGUUAGAGAAGAACAGCGUAUAGAGUAACUGUUAUGCGUGUGACGGUAUCUAACCAGAAAGCCACGGCUAACUACGUGCCAGCAGCCGCGGUAAUACGUAGGUGGCAAGCGUUAUCCGGAAUUAUUGGGCGUAAAGCGCGCGUAGGCGGUUUUUUAAGUCUGAUGUGAAAGCCCACGGCUCAACCGUGGAGGGUCAUUGGAAACUGGAAAACUUGAGUGCAGAAGAGGAAAGUGGAAUUCCAUGUGUAGCGGUGAAAUGCGCAGAGAUAUGGAGGAACACCAGUGGCGAAGGCGACUUUCUGGUCUGUAACUGACGCUGAUGUGCGAAAGCGUGGGGAUCAAACAGG